rnacentral:rRNA from 1 species
CACGAACGCUGGCGGCAGGCUUAACACAUGCAAGUCGAGCGCCCCGCAAGGGGAGCGGCAGACGGGUGAGUAACGCGUGGGAAUCUACCCAUCUCUACGGAAUAACGCAUGGAAACGUGUGCUAAUACCGUAUACGUCCUUCGGGGGAAAGAUUUAUCGGAGAUGGAUGAGCCCGCGUUGGAUUAGCUAGUUGGUGGGGUAAGGGCCUACCAAGGCGACGAUCCAUAGCUGGUCUGAGAGGAUGAUCAGCCACACUGGGACCGAGACACGGCCCAGACUCCUACGGGAGGCAGCAGUGUGGAAUAUUGGACAAUGGGCGCAAGCCUGAUCCAGCCAUGCCGCGUGAGUGAUGAAGGCCCUAGGGUUGUAAAGCUCUUUCACCGGUGAAGAUAAUGACGGUAACCGGAGAAGAAGCCCCGGCUAACUUCGUGCCAGCCGCCGCCGUAACAC